ensembl:misc_RNA Y_RNA Y RNA
UGGUCCCAUGAUAAUGGAUUGUCAGAACUUAACAUUAGUGUCACUAAAGUUGGCAUACAGCCCUCCACUGCUAAAUUUGGCCAAAAAUAA